CCAUUAACUCAACUGUGACACCACUUGUCCGCGCGCGGAAAAGAUAAAAUAGUUAUUUUUUCAUCAACCAUAUUCGACCAGUUCCUACGCGACGGAAAAGAGACCUUUGCGCUUAAUGAAGGAUUAAAAUUCCAAUCAAAGCCAACCUGCACAAAUCAUUACCCGCAACAACAGCCACAAUACCCCGGGCCAACAGUGAGAGAAGCAGUCGGGCGGAUUGUCUCAGCAUAACGACACAAAACAUCGCUCAAAGUGGCAACACGUUUUUGCAAAAGUCGUCAAUAGUAGGCCACCGUUGUACAGCGCUGGUUCGCAAUAGUCGUCCGUCCGGGACGGUUGAUUGGCGUCGGCGUCGGAAGUUAGAUGCGUAUCGUACCGAGCCGGGUAAUGUGCCCGAGAGAAGAUUCCACCAUUCUCGCACCGUACCGUCGCCAUCCGUGUGCCGCACCGAGUUGCCGCGCAUGGUGUUAAUUUUAGAAUCGAUUCCCGCGUCACAACCAAGAGGGACGAACUCAUCCGCCAGCGGAAAGACACACACGGGGCGCUUGGCGGUAAAUCGGGAGCGACCAAUUCCGUACUUGGUUGUUAGCCACUGGCUGUGCUAUUUCAGCAAGACACGUACGAAAAUCACGCCGUUGGCAGAUGGGCAAACCCGGUCGUAUUCGCUACGUGUGGUGGUGCUAAUGCAAUAAGCGCGCUAGGGAAGCGUUCGCUGGGUGGAAAAUUCACGCGUUGCUGUAAAUUACAACCUUCUUCCUCCCAAAAAAAAAAAAAAAAACGGGGAACCAUCUUCAUUCUCUCUAGUCCACGAUACAGCGAAGGCACGCAUAAUAUCGAACCAAGAUCUAUCGAAGGACUCACACGCGCAUUGCUGGUUAAAUGUGCCCCGGUCGGUGUCGUUAUUGUUAUCACUGUUGUUGCUGUGGCAGCGGAAGCCAGAAUCGAAGCAGUACCAGCAGCGGACGGAUCGGUGGACGGGGUCCGCUCGGUUGGAUGCAGCUUUGGCAGCGCAAAGUAGCAAUCGCUGGCAGCAGGGAAAAGUUGGCCGAUUAACCAGCAGUGGCACAGGGUCAAUUCGUCGGCAGUGUGAACGGGGGAACGGUAUAGUACAAGUGAUGGAGCAUUCGGCGAAGCUGUUGGCCGGUGGUGCGGAUGACACCAGCCCGAAAGGGUCACCCGCCGCCGUACCCGGUGCGGCGUGUCAUCCAUGCCCGCCGCUGCGGCCAGCAGUCGGGAAUGCAAGUGAUGCGGUAGUCUGUGAUAGAAGUAACGUGGUUACAAUGGAUGAAGCUGGCGAAACCUUACCACUGGCCGGCCGUUCGUUGGAUGCAGAGCAGGGGGAGGAUAACUGCACCGAUACGGAUGAUCAGAAUAGUAAUUAUCUAAGCAUUAGCAAUAGUCGCAGCAGCAGCUGCUUUGACCUACCUGGCGAGUGCUCACCGAUGAUGGGCACCGCGAGAUUGCCGAAAGCGGACGAGAGCCGGCUAACGCUGGUAAACGAAAGGUACACCAAAUCGGUGCCGUCCGCCGUACCGGCGCAAUCCCCGGGACAGGUUGAGGGCGUUGGUGGAGGUGGUAAACUUUCCGGGUCAAAGCAACGGCUCGAUUACGACGCGGAGGAUGCGGAAGAGGAGGAUGAGGACGAGGAGGAGGAGGAGGAGGACUCGUCAAUGCUAACGCAUUCGGCCGCAACGACCGCAACCGUUUCGUCCAACAAAUCCCGUCUGCUUGUGGCCUCGGAACAGCAGCCCGGAAGCUCCAGCAGCCGAGGAGCGCCGGAUGCUGGCGUUUGUUGUAACAUAGUGGACAAUCCGGUCAGCGAGACGGCCCCGGCGAUGGAUGUCGGCAGUACGGGUAAUAACGCACAGGAUGGUACGCGCACACCGGCAACGGGAACGGCUGCUAAUGGUGUUGCCGGCGGCAGUGGAAAUCCGCACAGCCGUGUCACAACGACACCCUCCAACUUAAGCAACUGCAGUGGCCUACCGACCGUCACCGUGGUGCAGCUGAAGCAGAGCAAAAAUCUCAUCUACUUCCUGCGAUUGAUCUUCAAUCACUGUAAGAGCUCCGGUAUAGGAGAACCGAGCGUUUAUCAUGCCUUAGUAGUCAUAUUUUUGGAAUUUUUCGCCUGGGGACUUUUAACGAUGCCUGUCAUAAAUGUCCUCAAUCAAACCUUCCCAGAUCACACCUUCCUAAUGAACGGGUUGGUAAUGGGCAUAAAGGGCAUACUAUCAUUCCUCAGCGCUCCACUGAUUGGUGCCCUUUCGGACGUUUGGGGCCGGAAGUUCUUUCUGCUAAUUACGGUGUUCUUCACCUGCGCUCCGAUCCCACUAAUGUCGAUCAACUCGUGGUGGUUCUUCGCAAUGAUCUCAAUCAGCGGUGUGUUCGCGGUAACGUUUUCCGUUGUGUUUGCUUAUGUAGCAGACGUGACGACGGUGGAGGAUCGGUCACGAGCGUAUGGUCUGGUGUCAGCCACCUUCGCCGCUAGUUUGGUUAUUUCACCCGCACUCGGAGCUUACCUGAACGACAAAUACUCGGAACCGCUAAUUGUGGCCCUGGCCACUGCAAUCGCUGUGCUGGAUGUGUUCUUCAUUCUGGUGGCGGUGCCGGAAAGUUUACCGGAAAAAGUACGACCCAGCUCCUGGGGAGCCCCGAUCAGCUGGGAACAGGCAGAUCCGUUUGCAGCGCUCCGUAAAGUUGGUCUGGAUCAAACGAUUCUGAUGCAGUGUGUUACGGUGCUGCUCUCUUAUCUGCCAGAAGCGGGACAAUAUUCGUGCAUUUUCGUCUACCUGAAACUGAAAAUGCAUUUCAGCUCGAUCGAUGUAUCGAUCUUUAUUGCUGUCGUCGGUAUACUAAGUAUACUGACGCAGGUCAUCCUAGGUGAUCUAAUGAAGGCACUUGGUGCAAAGCGUACAAUAAUAAUAGGAUUACUGUUCGAAAUGUUACAACUGCUUUGGUAUGGUUUUGGCAGUCAAACAUGGAUGAUGUGGGCAGCAGGUAUCCUUGCUUCAUUAGCGUCAAUUACGUAUCCGGCGAUCAGUGCAUUUGUGUCGAUACAUUCCAACCCGGACCAACAAGGGGUGGUCCAGGGUAUGGUGACAGGAAUGCGCGGUUUGUGCAACGGUCUAGGGCCAGCGAUGUUCGGCGUCAUCUUCUACGUAUUUCACGUCGACCUGAACGACGAGCAUAACGUUGCGAGCCAUAGUCUUAACGGUGCCGCGAUUGGAGCAGUGGCGGGCGGUGGAGUUUUUGACGGAUCCGAUGCAAAGUUUGUGCGUAACGAGACGCUACUCGGGGGCUCGGUGCACCAUCGCAUUGAGGACGAGUACUCACAGCUUAUGCCGGGCCCUCCGUUCGUGUUCGGGGCGCUAAUGGUGAUAUGUGCCAUCGCCGUGGCCGCGUUCAUUCCGGAGACGCCCAGCGAUACCAUCCGGCGGCCAUCGGGUGAGAAGAAAAAAAGCGGCUAUAGGAGCCAAGACAGAUUGACCGUUCUUAUUGGAGACUGAUUUGCACGGUGAUAAGUGUGACAAACUGCGAGCGAUACAACAAUUCAAUCGCCCAACGAAAGUGACCGUCAGAAGAGAUGGGCAGAAAAGUGCGAGAAUAGACUUUUUCACAUACCUCACCCAACCAUUAACACAACCAUUGCACUCUUUGCUGCGUUUGUGUGCCGCACUUAGCUCACUGGAUAGUUUGGAUAGUUUGAAGAUGGAAAAUGUUUCCACCUGAUUUGCUACCGAACCUUGUGGAAUGUGUGCGUUCGUUAUGAAUUCAUUUUACUUUCUCGUUUUAAUACCCAAUUAACACACUUUCGUCGAGGGAAUGCUUAUCGAGGGCAUGCCAUGGCAGUUUGUUACGAAAGGCUGUCGUUAGAUGUCGAUUAUGAAUACGAGCGUGGGCGUAAGGUAGCGGGCCCACUGUCACCACUGAUGCACCAGGACUCUGCUCAGCUAUAGUUGUGUUAAAAGAAACUUAGCACCCGCUGCACGUUGGUGUGGUGUUAUGCGCUCGAUAUAAUCCUAAUCGUCGUCAUCAUUAGUUUGUACAAUCUAGUGUAAGCAGCAGCAGAAACACCUUUGGUAACACUGAGUAGGCGAGAGUGGAAGUAGCGUACAGAGGAAACAUGUAAAUCAAGGUCAAGGCAGGGAAGCGCUUUUGGUAAUGUGGAGUGGUAUGUUGUUGGGGUAGAAAUGUGCGCUGUAUAAAAAUGUAUUCUGUUCUUUUUGUUUUAGACUACGAAAGUUCAUGGUGUCUUAUUAUGGUUGUUACAUAGAGCAGCAUUGUGAAUUAUUGUCACUAAAAAACCAUGUCCUUUUUCCUUCCGAAGGUAGGCAAGGUUUCUCUUUUCAUGAUUUGUUUUAUACCUAUUGUUUGUUGAAAAGAAACCAUUUGUUCAUGUGUACGGUUCGUUUUUGUUUAUUUUAAGCUGCGUGUGUGCAUUGUGGUAAUCGACCAAAAGCGUACUUUAAAAAAAUCUGGUUUGUUAUGAUGAAAAGCUUUAAACAAAACAACAAAAAAGCCCAAACUGCUUGCGGUUCGGAACUUUUGAGAUGUAUAACUACCGCUUUGGCAGUUGCUGGCACAACGAACGUACAUAGAACCGUAACGCUUUUUUAAAUUUUGCCAAGUUUGUCCAAAUGUUUUCCUUAGUCUAGUCAAAUGACGGACACACAUUUAACGGAAAGAUGUAAAAACACAGCUCAUGCUGGUACUAACGGGUUAGGUUUUCCUACGCUACACUAACUGACUGUGCGCUGUUUGCUAGUGGGAAACAUUUCAGUGUUGAACAGUAAGGGAAUGUUGAAUUGGCAGCAGGAGAAUGACGUGUAUAAAUUAGGACUGAAUGUGGAAAGGGAAAACAAUGUGCGAGGAAGAGUAUUUUUGGCCGUGGUUUGCUUAGUCUACGACAAGGAAACCGAGUGAUAGUAGGAUAAGAUUAACGAUUAGCAGGAAAGGGUAAAAGAAGCGUGAUGCGGAAAUGAGCCAGAAACAGCUGGGGUGGAUCAUGUGGAUAGCAACAAAUCAGAUCGUUACAGUGUCACCCAUCUACCCGUAAUACCGAAAAACAAAGGCACUACCAUUAGGUUUUUAGCUACUGGAGCGUAUGGUUACUGUGUAAAUUAUGUUAAAAUAGGAUGUUUCAAGAAUUUAACGACAUCGUUUGACUAUGAUUCGAUUUAAAUGCUACGCCUAGAAAUGGGGUCGAGAAGAAGAUGGUUUAAAAUUCGUUGACACCGGGAACAGUUGAAGCAAGGCACGAGCCACCCAAUUCUUUUGCGAUCGGUAGAGUAUGCUUCACGAUGUUACCCUCUUGCAGAUAAGUAUUGUCAAGAGCAUGAUUAUGUACGAGCAGUAUAACACAGGUGUAAAGAGAUUUCGGCGUUUUUAAUACACUGCAAAUAGGUAUCAACAGGAGUUACUCUUGAGUAUCAGUGCGUACCACAAGCUCAUGAUCAGGUUGGAUUUAUGUACAAUUUCAUUAGGCACUACGUGUUGGGAAAAUUGUUUACGAUCGAUUCGUUUCCUGCAACACAGAUAAGGAUAAUGCCAUACGUAUCUACAAUUGACAUACCAGCACGAAAUCUUUAGUGUAACAUAACAAACAAAAAGAAACAUGUACAUGCCAGAAGUUAAAGCAAAAACCAAGUUACAUAGCAGUACCAGAAUUAAACCGCGAAGGUAAAUAACAAUAGCGAUAGCCAUGUAAAUGCCACUCGUCGCUGUAGGGCCGAACAUCAUAUGCAGCGGCGAUCAUCUUAUGGCCGGGCACUUGUUUUCGACACAGUUGUGUAACAAAUCUAGUGUCUGAUCUAAGAUGAUCGUGAUCUGCAUCUACCAGGGCGAGACACACUGUUAGUCCAAAGAUUAUAAAUUAACUUGAACUACUAGUGCUAGAGAGUUAGUAUUACGCAAAAAGCAUCAAAAGUUGCGACGAGCGUUUUAAGAUACAAAUGUCGCGCGAAAACAACUGUUGCGCAUGGGACAAAUGUCAUCAAAGCGUACAGAUAAAACAGAAACAAACAAAAAAAAAACAA